GACGAACGCUGGCGGCGUGCCUAAUACAUGCAAGUUGAGCGAUGAAGAUUGGUGCUUGCACCAAUUUGAAGAGCAGCGAGCGGGUGAGUAACGCGUGGGGAAUCUGCCUUUGAGCGGGGGACAACAUUUGGAAACGAAUGCUAAUACCGCAUAACAACUUUAAACAUAAGUUUUAAGUUUGAAAGAUGCAAUUGCAUCACUCAAAGAUGAUCCCGCGUUGUAUUAGCUAGUUGGUGAGGUAAAGGCUCACCAAGGCGAUGAUACAUAGCCGACCUGAGAGGGUGAUCGGCCACAUUGGGACUGAGACACGGCCCAAACUCCUACGGGAGGCAGCAGUAGGGAAUCUUCGGCAAUGGACGAAAGUCUGACCGAGCAACGCCGCGUGAGUGAAGAAGGGUUUCGGAUCGUAAAACUCUGUUGGUAGAGAAGAACGUUGGUGAGAGUGGAAAGCUCAUCAAGUGACGGUAACUACACAGAAAGGGACGGCUAACUACGUG
rnacentral:rRNA from 1 species